AAUCAACGCUGGCGGCGUGCCUCAGACAUGCAAGUCGAACGCGAAAGCCUCCUUCGGGGGGCAAGUAGAGUGGCGCACGGGUGAGUAACACGUAGGUAAUCUACCUUUGGAUUGGGAAUAACCACCGGAAACGGUGGCUAAUACCGAAUAAUGCAGCGGCACCUAAUGGUGACAGUUGCUAAAGCGGGGGAUCGCAAGACCUCGCGUCUGAAGAGGAGCCUGCGGCAGAUUAGCUAGUUGGUAAGGUAACGGCUUACCAAGGCGAUGAUCUGUAGCCGGCCUGAGAGGGCGGUCGGCCACACUGACACUGACAUACGGGUCAGACUCCUACGGGAGGCAGCAGUCGGGAAUUUUGGGCAAUGGGUGAAAGCCUGACCCAGCAACGCCGCGUGAAGGAUGAAAUCCCUCGGGAUGUAAACUUCGCAAGAACGGGAAGAAUAAGUAAGGGUUAAUAUCUCUUACGAUGACGGUACUGUUUGUAAGCUCCGGCUAACUCCGUGC
rnacentral:rRNA from 1 species